GCCCUUUUAAUUUUUUCGUUGUUUUUUUUUUUUUUUUAAAUUUUGAGAUAGGGUCUUGUCUCUUGAUUUGUACCUUGUGAAACCCAGAGCAGACAAAGAGCUGAUGCCUGAUGUAUGUGAGUUUCUCACACAAUGUGUGAGAUAGCAGGUGCCGGUUUAAGCCACUAAGUUGGUAGUAUUUGUUAUCACAGCAAAAGGAAACUCAUACAAGCUCUCUGCCUCCUCUGCUCAUCCUUGCCUGCCUUGCUCAGGCUUGGCCUUCUCUAAACUCCUGUCAUACUAAACUUUUUUCUUUCCUUCUAGUCCCCUUUGCAUAUCCUGUUCCCCUCUUACAACAGUCAUCUCCCUCCCUCCACUUUGUCUUGGUUAUUUCCUACCUUUAAGUCUUAAUCAAACCACCAUUUUCUAGGGAGGCCUUCUUCAGAGGCAGCACUAUUAGAAAACAGACACUAUUUCUAAAGUCUAAUGUGGCUCUUAUAUCAUCAGGAACAUUCUAGGCUUAAAGUAGCAGGGCACUGGUGAUUUAAAUCCAGUCUUAAGGGAUAGGGAGCCGAUACACUAGCAUUGGGGGACUAACGGGUUGGAAAGAGUGUUGGGGCUUCAAAGCAUUGCUGAGCCACCCUUCCAACCCUAAAUGGCCUUCUAGAAACCUCUCAGCAGACCCUUUACCAUUGGUCAUAACCAUGUCACAUGGGCAUUAACAUUUACAAGGGAGUUUGGGAAACCACAUAGCUGUCAUUAAAAGAUGGGUUUGUCACAGGGAACCCAGGCCAACAGUGAUUUACCCCUUAGGGCUGAGCUCACCCCAAACAAAAUUAGCACUGUGUUUGCAAGAAAGAAGAGUAGGAGGUGGAAAUGAUGAACAUAGGGUAGGUAAUGAACCAUGAAGGGUAUCUGCCAUAAGGAGAUAUAGAUUGAUGAUAGAUGAUAGAGGGUUCAUUUUGCCAUAUAUCACAAAGCACAUCACUUUAUUAAUUAAAAAAAAAUACCAAUUCUUUCAAUAAAACUAAUCAUUUGCUAUAUAAAUCAAC
rnacentral:lncRNA from 1 species